rnacentral:rRNA from 1 species
UACGUAGGUGGCAAGCGUUGUCCGGAUUUACUGGGCGUAAAGAGCGCGCAGGCGGUCGUUCAAGUCGCGUGUGAAAGCCCCCGGCUCAACUGGGGAGGGUCACGCGAUACUGAUCGACUCGAAGGCAGGAGAGGGAAGUGGAAUUCCCGGUGUAGUGGUGAAAUGCGUAGAUAUCGGGAGGAACACCAGUGGCGAAGGCGGCUCACUGGACCGGCAUUGACGCUGAGGUGCGAAAGCGUGGGGAGCAAACAGG